CCUACGGGAGGCAGCAGUGAGGAAUAUUGGUCAAUGGGCGUAAGCCUGAACCAGCCAAGUAGCGUGAAGGAUGAAUGCCCUAUGGGUUGUAAACUUCUUUUAUAAGGGAAUAAAGUGAGGCACGUGUGCAUUUUUGCAUGUACCCUAUGAAUAAGGAUCGGCUAACUCCGUGCCAGCAGCCGCGGUAAUACGGAGGAUCCGAGCGUUCUCCGGAUUUAUUGGGUUUAAAGGGUGCGUAGAUGGGUUGUUAAGUCAGUUGUGAAAGUUUGUGGCUCAACCGUAAAAUUGCAGUUGAUACUGGCAGUCUGGAGUGCGGUUGAGGUAGGCGGAAUGCGUGGUGUAGCGGUGAAAUGCUUAGAUAUCACGCAGAACUCCGAUUGCGAAGGCAGCUUACUAAGCUGUAACUGACACUGAAGCACGAAAGCGUGGGUAUCAAACAGGAUUAGAUACCCCUGUAGUC
rnacentral:rRNA from 1 species